rnacentral:rRNA from 1 species
CCUGAAGGUCCUCAUUUCCUGUGCUCUCAGAAGCUAAGCAGGGUCAACCUGGUGAGUACUUGGAUGGGAAGAAGACAUUGACUUUCAGGC